rnacentral:lncRNA from 1 species
GUAAGAGAGGUCUCUAGUAAAUGUUCUGUAUGAAUGUGUGUAUGUGUGUAGGGCAGGGGUGUGUGUGUAGGUAGUAGCGGGGCAUAGGUUAAGGAGAGGAAGGGGUAUGUGUGUGGGGGAAGUAUUGAGGAAUGGGGAGGGGGAGAGUGAUCAAAGAGAUUUCUGUUCUGAACUCAUCCUCAGAAGAUCUCACACAUGUUCUGGUGUUCCCUAG